UGGGGAAUUUUGGACAAUGGGGGUAACCCUGAUCCAGCCAUUCCGCGUGUGCGAUGAAGGCCUUCGGGUUGUAAAGCACUUCUGGCAGGGAAGAAAUCGCAUGGAUUAAUACUCUGUGCGGAUGACGGUACCUGCAGAGUAAGCACCGGCUAACUACGUGCCAGCAGCCGCGGUAAUACGUAGGGUGCGAGCGUUAAUCGGAAUUACUGGGCGUAAAGCGUGCGCAGGCUGUUUUGUAAGUCAGAUGUGAAAUCCCUGAGCUCAACUUAGGAACUGCGUUUGAAACUACAAGACUAGAAUAUGUCAGAGGGGGGUAGAAUUCCACGUGUAGCAGUGAAAUGCGUAGAUAUGCGGAGGAACACCGAUGGCGAAGGCAAUCCCCUGGACCUGUACUGACGCUCAUGCACGAAAGCGUGGGGAGCAAACAGG
rnacentral:rRNA from 1 species